rnacentral:rRNA from 1 species
AACGAACGCUGGCGGCAUGCCUAACACAUGCAAGUCGAACGAGACCUUCGGGUCUAGUGGCGCACGGGUGCGUAACGCGUGGGAACCUGCCCUUAGGUUCGGAAUAACUCCCCGCAAGGGGUGCUAAUACCGGAUAAUGUCUUCGGACCAAAGAUUUAUCGCCUUUGGAUGGGCCCGCGUUGGAUUAGCUAGUUGGUAGGGUAAAAGCCUACCAAGGCGACGAUCCAUAGCUGGUCUGAGAGGAUGAUCAGCCACACUGGGACUGAGACACGGCCCAGACUCCUACGGGAGGCAGCAGUGGGGAAUAUUGGACAAUGGGCGAAAGCCUGAUCCAGCAAUGCCGCGUGAGUGAUGAAGGCCUUAGGGUUGUAAAGCUCUUUUAACCGGGAUGAUAAUGACAGUAGCGGGAGAAUAAGCUCCGGCUAACUCCGUG